UGAACGCUGGCGGCGUGCCUAAUACAUGCAAGUCGAACGAGUUCUCGUUGAUGAUCGGUGCUUGCACCGAGAUUCAACAUGGAACGAGUGGCGGACGGGUGAGUAACACGUGGGUAACCUGCCCUUAAGUGGGGGAUAACAUUUGGAAACAGAUGCUAAUACCGCAUAGAUCCAAGAACCGCAUGGUUCUUGGCUGAAAGAUGGCGUAAGCUAUCGCUUUUGGAUGGACCCGCGGCGUAUUAGCUAGUUGGUGAGGUAAUGGCUCACCAAGGCGAUGAUACGUAGCCGAACUGAGAGGUUGAUCGGCCACAUUGGGACUGAGACACGGCCCAAACUCCUACGGGAGGCAGCAGUAGGGAAUCUUCCACAAUGGACGCAAGUCUGAUGGAGCAACGCCGCGUGAGUGAAGAAGGCUUUCGGGUCGUAAAACUCUGUUGUUGGAGAAGAAUGGUCGGCAGAGUAACUGUUGUCGGCGUGACGGUAUCCAACCAGAAAGCCACGGCUAACUACGUGCCAGCAGCCGCGGUAAUACGUAGGUGGCAAGCGUUAUCCGGAUUUAUUGGGCGUAAAGCGAGCGCAGGCGGUUUUUUAAGUCUGAUGUGAAAGCCCUCGGCUUAACCGAGGAAGCGCAUCGGAAACUGGGAAACUUGAGUGCAGAAGAGGACAGUGGAACUCCAUGUGUAGCGGUGAAAUGCGUAGAUAUAUGGAAGAACACCAGUGGCGAAGGCGGCUGUCUGGUCUGUAACUGACGCUGAGGCUCGAAAGCAUGGGUAGCGAACAGGAUUAGAUACCCUGGUAGUCCAUGCCGUAAACGAUGAAUGCUAGGUGUUGGAGGGUUUCCGCCCUUCAGUGCCGCAGCUAACGCAUUAAGCAUUCCGCCUGGGGAGUACGACCGCAAGGUUGAAACUCAAAGGAAUUGACGGGGGCCCGCACAAGCGGUGGAGCAUGUGGUUUAAUUCGAAGCAACGCGAAGAACCUUACCAGGUCUUGACAUCUUUUGAUCACCUGAGAGAUCAGGUUUCCCCUUCGGGGGCAAAAUGACAGGUGGUGCAUGGUUGUCGUCAGCUCGUGUCGUGAGAUGUUGGGUUAAGUCCCGCAACGAGCGCAACCCUUAUGACUAGUUGCCAGCAUUUAGUUGGGCACUCUAGUAAGACUGCCGGUGACAAACCGGAGGAAGGUGGGGAUGACGUCAAAUCAUCAUGCCCCUUAUGACCUGGGCUACACACGUGCUACAAUGGAUGGUACAACGAGUUGCGAGACCGCGAGGUCAAGCUAAUCUCUUAAAGCCAUUCUCAGUUCGGACUGUAGGCUGCAACUCGCCUACACGAAGUCGGAAUCGCUAGUAAUCGCGGAUCAGCACGCCGCGGUGAAUACGUUCCCGGGCCUUGUACACACCGCCCGUCACACCAUGAGAGUUUGUAACACCCGAAGCCGGUGGCGUAACCCUUUUAGGGAGCGAGCCGUCUAAGGUGGGACAAAU
rnacentral:rRNA from 2 species